rnacentral:rRNA from 1 species
AACGAACGCUGGCGGCAGGCUUGACACAUGCAAGUCGAACGGGUGUAGCAAUACAUCAGUGGCAGACGGGUGAGUAACACGUGGGAACCUUCCUAGGGGUACGGAACAACUCAGGGAAACUUGAGCUUAUACCGUAUACGUCCGUGAUGAGAAAGAUUUAUCGCCCUUAGACGGGCCCGCGUCGGAUUAGUUAGUUGGUGGGGUAACGGCCUACCAAGGCGACGAUCCGUAGCUGAUCUUAGAGGAUGAUCAGCCACACUGGGACUGAGACACGGCCCAGACUCCUACGGGAGGCAGCAGUGGGGAAUCUUGGACAAUGGGCGCAAGCCUGAUCCAGCCAUGCCGCGUGAGUGAAGAAGGUCUUCGGAUUGUAAAGCUCUUUUGCCAGGGACGAUAAUGACGGUACCUGGAGAAUAAGCCCCGGCAAACUUCGUGCCAGCCGCCGCCGUAA